rnacentral:rRNA from 1 species
UACGGAGGGUGCGAGCGUUGUCCGGAAUCACUGGGCGUAAAGGGCGCGUAGGCGGCCUGAUAAGUAGGGGGUGAAAUCCUGCGGCUUAACCGCAGGGCUGCCUUCUAAACUGUCAGGCUCGAGCACAGUAGAGGCAGGUGGAAUUCCGGGUGUAGCGGUGGAAUGCGUAGAGAUCCGGAAGAACACCGGUGGCGAAGGCGGCCCGCUGGGCAGGAAGGCUCGCAAGAGCCGGCUGACGCUGAGGCGCGACAGCGUGGGGAGCAAACAGG